AGUGAACGCUGGCGGUAGGCCUAACACAUGCAAGUCGAACGGCAGCACAGGAGAGCUUGCUCUCUGGGUGGCGAGUGGCGGACGGGUGAGGAAUACAUCGGAAUCUACUUUUUCGUGGGGGAUAACGUAGGGAAACUUACGCUAAUACCGCAUACGACCUACGGUGGAAAGCAGGGGACCUUCGGGCCUUGCGCGAUUGAAUGAGCCGAUGUCGGAUUAGCUAGUUGGCGGGGUAAAGGCCCACCAAGGCGACGAUCCGUAGCUGGUCUGAGAGGAUGAUCAGCCACACUGGAACUGAGACACGGUCCAGACUCCUACGGGAGGCAGCAGUGGGGAAUAUUGGACAAUGGGCGCAAGCCUGAUCCAGCCAUACCGCGUGGGUGAAGAAGGCCUUCGGGUUGUAAAGCCCUUUUGUUGGGAAAGAAAUCCAGCUGGCUAAUACCCGGUUGGGAUGACGGUACCCAAAGAAUAAGCACCGGCUAACUUCGUGCCAGCCGCCGCAGUAA
rnacentral:rRNA from 1 species